GCUAUGUAUGGACGGGAUAAGUGCUGAAAGCAUCUAAGCAUGAAGCCCCCCUCAAGAUGAGAUUUCCCAACUUCGGUUAUAAGAUCCCUCGAAGAUGACGAGGUUAAUAGGUUCGAGGUGGAAGCGUGGUGACACGUGGAGCUGACGAAUACUAAUCGAUCGAAGACUUAAUCAAUUU
rnacentral:rRNA from 1 species